CCCGGGUCUCACGUGCCCUGACUCCUGGUGUCUGUGCUGGCUGUGCUCUUAAUGCGUGGGUGUGCUGAGUGAUGGAGGUGCUCCCAGCUGGGCAGUUUGCCCUGUUAUUUAUCAGUCCUCCCAUUGCUCUUGUUGUCUGCAAGCCUGACAAGGAACAAAUUACAUGGCUGCGGUAACUCCUGAAGAACAUGUUUCCUUGGUUAUCCUGUGAAAGCUUUGUUUCCCAUUGGCAUGAUGAUCUUUGUAACAUAGAAUCAUAUAUUUUCUUCCCCGAUCCCCGCACUCAGAACGAAAUAAAACCCGUCUAAUUGCUGCCAUCUGAGCCGGAGGACUGCAAACAGAGAUGUGAAGGAGGCAGCACGGCUUGGAGCCGUAAAAUCCUCAGCACUCAUCCAUGGGUCACAACGGGGGAGGCACAAAUCUUUCCUCCAGCCCACCAAAGCGCUGUGCUCAGCGGGAAGGAGGGGCUCGAUGGAAUAUUCUGCCAUGAAGCAGAAGACUUCGCAGGGGGAAAAAAGUGAAAAGAUACACAACAGUGGAGCUGCUUUCUUGGCUAAGCAUGAGGAAAACUGCAGGAGUCUGUGUUACUUACUCACUUGUGCAAAAUGUGCUUAGUUCCACAAAUGCAGCGGUGCCAGUCCUGCAGGUGUGUUAGCAGGUGAUAAGUGCUGUUCACGCGCUGAGUAAUGUGCUGGGUAAAGAAAUGACCACGUUUCAGAGCUGCUGUGAUAGACGUGCAUCCCUCCCAGCCAACCCCGGACUGCAAGGAGACCACGCUGCAAAGCAAUGGGUCUGGGCAGAGCUUGGCCAGGCAGGGCUGAGAAUGUCACUGCAGAGCUGGCCAAGCUGCUCACCGCAACACACGAACCCCAGCUCCCGCCUGGUGCUGCCUGAAUGCUGCACGGAGCAGCCAUGUGAAAUAACUCCUGGGGUAGAUAGCAGUAAUCUGAGCGCAACUGCAGAUGAGAAAAUCCUGCCCAUUGUCCUGCCCUGAUGAAAUUAAACCCGGCACCUUGCACAGCUGCUGCCAAACCCGGCAGCGUUGUUCCUUUGUGCUCAUACAUAAGCUCAGUUCUCUGCCAUCCCACAAGGAGCAUCACUCACAGCCUGCGGGAAGACAAAACCUUCCUCCCAGUCUCACACAGCUCUGGUGCACCCAAUUCUGCUGUUACUGACAAUGGUGUAUUCUGGGGUGAAGGCCUGGCUUACAUCACUACAUGAACAAUGGCUUGUUGUUGUUGUCUCCACCUUCCUUUGUACCUAAUAAAACAAGAUUUUGG
ensembl:lncRNA